AACGAACGCUGGCGGCAUGCCUAACACAUGCAAGUCGAACGAGACCUUCGGGUCUAGUGGCGCACGGGUGCGUCACGCGUGGGAACCUGCCCUUAGGUUCGGAAUAACUCCCCGAAAGGGGUGCUAAUACCGGAUAAUGUCUUCGGACCAAAGAUUUAUCGCCUUUGGAUGGGCCCGCGUUGGAUUAGCUAGUUGGUAGGGUAAAAGCCUACCAAGGCGACGAUCCAUAGCUGGUCUGAGAGGAUGAUCAGCCACACUGGGACUGAGACACGGCCCAGACUCCUACGGGAGGCAGCAGUGGGGAAUAUUGGACAAUGGGCGAAAGCCUGAUCCAGCAAGGCCGCGUGAGUGAUGAAGGCCGUAGGGUUGUAAAGCUCUUUUACCCGGGAUGAUAAUGACAGUACCGGGAGAAUAAGCGCCGGCUAACUCCGUG
rnacentral:rRNA from 1 species